AUCCAGCUGAUCAGUUGAAAAUAGGACGAGACGCGCUUCCUGGAU
rnacentral:hammerhead_ribozyme from 1 species